ACUCAAAUGAAUUGACGGGGGCCCGCACAAGCGGUGGAGCAUGUGCAUUAAUUCGUCACUAACCGAAGAACCUUACCAGGGUUUGACAUCCUCGGACAGUCCGUGAAAGCGGAUCUUCCCCGCAAGGGGACCGGGAGACAGGUGUUGCAUGGUUGUCGUCAGCUCGUGUCGUGAGAUGUUGGGUUAAGUCCCGCAACGAGCGCAACCCUCAUCCAAUGUUGCCAGCGUAAAGUCGGGAACUCUUUGGAAACUGCCCGUGUAAGCGGGAGGAAGGUGAGGAUGACGUCAAAUCGGCAUGGCCCUUACAUCCUGGGCUUGACACAUGCUACAAUGGCCGUUAAACAGAGCGACGCAAGACCGCGAGGUGGAGCUAAUCGCAAAAAUACGGUCUCAGUUCAGAUUGCAGGCUGCAACUCGCCUGCAUGAAGUCGGAAUCGCUAGUAACCGCAGGUCAGCUAAACUGCGGUGAAUACGUUCCCGGGCCUUGUACACACCGCCCGU
rnacentral:rRNA from 1 species